rnacentral:lncRNA from 1 species
AGACAACUUUGACGUUUCUUUCGUUUUCUUUUCCGUUCCGACGAACUAUGAAUCAGCCUUGAUGAUAACAGGGAAGUGAUGCAACUAUGACAUAAGAGGUUCCUGCUAUAUUAUUAAGUGAAAAGUUUCGUUGUCUCAUUUGAAAAUCGUUAAUUUUUUUGCCAGCUGCGUACUUAAAAACUUUAUAUCCGAACAUAAUUUACUUAAACUGAAAGUUUUUUAUAUUAAGUGAAAACUGUCAACUUAAAAAGAAAUGCUGCCAGUUCCCAGAAUCGUAGGUUGGGUAAUAGGGUAUAUCCAAGAUCUUUUCAUUAAUAUCUGGUGAAAUUUGGAGAUUUUCCAGCCAUCGUCUCAACGAUAUUAUUAUUGGAAGACAUAAAAAGCUUCCAUAUAAACCCAUAUGCAAUCCUAAAGCGAAACUUCUCUCUUCUGUAGUAUAGUGUCUACCUUUCUUUUUUACAGAGCUGUUGGGAAUUGUUACUGCUGGACUAUGCAUUUGGUUGCUUACAGACCCAGUGAAAUUUAGUAUUGGCUUAUUACAAGCAAGCUGGGAUGGUGGCGACUCUCCUAAAGUAGGAAUUGCUGCAGGAGUUUUAAUGCUUGUUGUUGGAAUAUCUUUCUGCUUUAUAAAUUCAGAAGGACGAUUUAAUUUUUUUGCAGGAGCCUUAGUCGUGGUUUUGGCUCUUUCUAUUGCAUCUAUGUCUGUUGCCAUUAAAGAUCAUCAAGAUAUAAAGAAAGCUGCAGAUAUUCUGCCAUUCGGUGAUCUCUUGAAGACAUACGAUAAAAUGAUGAACAGAUUGAAAGUCGUGGCUGCCAUUGGUGGUAUUGAUGCAAUUGCUAUGCUUAUAUGUGUAGCUGUGCUCUACAAGAAUCGCUCAUAAUGCAACAUAUUUCUUUGUAAAAAGCGAUAAUUCAAAGAUAAUUGAAUUAUCAAAUAUGGAAAUAGUUUGAAUUCUUGAAAAUGCAUUUUAUUUACGAAAGUUUAUUUGUUUGUUACAUUAUAAAAUAUAAGUAAUCCUCGUAUAAUACGGUAGAUAUGUUCUUAAAAAAUGCCGUGUUGAGUGAAACUGUGUGUUAUGAGAGCUGGAGCCAAUACAAAAAAGGGAGUUAUCUUCCAAAACCAAUUAAAGAGAGAACUUUUUUUUUAAUUUCACAUAAACUUAAUUUUUCUUAAGAAUAUUAAUAACACGAAACAAAGAAAAAAUA